GGUUACUAAUGGGCAAGGAGAUAUCUGAUUGGUGGUGUUGCUCUUAUAUCAAUCAGGGGCAAAGCAGAUGUACAGUCCUUAGUUCAUCCUAGCUUGAUCCCUGUGUCAUGACCAGAGCUGUUUCAUGCCUGAGGCACAUAA
rnacentral:snoRNA from 1 species